GCUGGGCAUGGUGGCUCAUGCCUGUAAUCCCAGCACUUCGGGAGGCUGAGGUGGGUGGAUCACCUGAGGUCAGGAGUUCAAGAUCAGCCUGGCCAACACGGUGAAACCCCAUCUCUA
ensembl:misc_RNA Metazoa_SRP Metazoan signal recognition particle RNA